UACAGAGGGUGCGAGCGUUAAUCGGAAUUGCUGGGCGUAAAGCGCGCGUAGGCGGCUUUGCAAGUCGAGUGUGAAAUCCCCAGGCUUAACCUGGGAACUGCAUUCGAGACUGCAUGGCUAGAGUAUGGGAGAGGGAAGUGGAAUUUCAGGUGUAGCGGUGAAAUGCGUAGAUAUCUGAAGGAACAUCAGUGGCGAAAGCGACUUCCUGGACCAAUACUGACGCUCAUGUGCGAAAGCGUGGGGAGCAAACAGG
rnacentral:rRNA from 1 species